UACGUAGGUGGCAAGCGUUUGUCCGGAUUUACUGGGCGUAAAGAGCGCGCAGGCGGUCGUUCAAGUCGCGUGUGAAAGCCCCCGGCUCAACUGGGGAGGGUCACGCGAUACUGAUCGACUCGAAGGCAGGAGAGGGAAGUGGAAUUUCCGGUGUAGCGGUGAAAUGCGUAGAUAUCGGGAAGGAACAUCAGAGGCGAAGGCGGCUACCUGGACAAUUGCUGACACUCAGGCACGAAAGCGUGGGGAGCAAACAGG
rnacentral:rRNA from 1 species